rnacentral:miRNA from 1 species
UAAAAGCCGUCCAAGCACC